GAGCUUUGCAAAGACCUCAAGGCGUUCUCCAUCCUCUUUGGCUGCAUGUUUGACAGAUGCUUCUGACCCAUGGACCAAACCUGGUUCUGAGGCAUCCCAUAAUCCAAGGGUUUGUUUGGUUUUUUUUUAAAGUGCUGCAGCAGGAGGCAAUAUUGACUUUUGCAAAAUGUCCUCUGUAUUAAUUUGCAUUGAGUUUAAAAGUAAACCUGGAAGGCUGGUUAAUCUCUCAGGCCCAUUUUAAUUUGAGCUCUUGAAGUUUAGAGGUCAGGUCGGUGUGGUCUGCCUGCAUCACAUCUGGGCAGAGACUGUGCUGGCAGAAAAAGGAUAUGGGGAAAAUGUGCAUGUGGGGAGUUUCUGCCUGAUAAAGGGGAGGGGAGCAGCUGGCUGGAUGUUAAGACUAAUGGUAAGAUCAGGGGAAGAGAUUCCUAUCACUUCUCAGAUUGGUGUGACCAAAGCCAAGCUGGAGUGCUGGCUUUGGAGCAGAAGGACAAGGGUAAGCUCACCUCAGAGGGACUAACUGUGCUGAGGAGUGGAGGGAGUGCUGCCAUGGGCAGGGGAUGCAGGGGAUCUCACAGGGCAAAGAGAAAUAAGAAGGGAGCUCUGCAGGCAGAGCAUGUGAGACCAGCUCUGGGCUACUGCCUUCUGGAGUGGCUUGACAGAGGGGCUGUGUUUGGGCAUGUGGGUUUGCUGCUGUACAGCCCCUGAAAUCACAUCCCACAUCCCGAGCAGCUGAGGUGGAGGUUGCCCUGUGCCCUGGUCCUUGUUGCUCAGCACAGGUUUGGUUGCAUGGGGACAUGGACAUGUCAUGUCAUGCCAGAACAGCGUGCAUCGCCCUCCCAGCCGAGCUCCUGCAGGGCCUGGGGUCAGUGUUCCACUGGGCCUGGGGUCAGUGUUCUGCAGGGCCUGGGGUCAGUGUUCCACGGGGCCUGGGGUCAGUGUUCUGCAGGGCCUGGGGUCAGUGUUCCAUGGGGCCUGGGGUCAGUGUUCCAUGGGGCCUGGGGUCAGUGUUCUGCAGGGGCUGGGGUCAGAGUUCCACAGGGCCUGAGGCCUGGGGUCAGUGUUCUGCAGGGCCUGGGGACAGUGUUCUGCAGGGCCUGGGGUGGUAGCAGGUGCCUCGCAGAAAAGACAGAUUGGAGCUACAGAUUUGUGUGUGAGUCACGCCGUGCUGUUGCAAUACUCACCUGGCCACGACCUCAGCGGAGCCCUGUCCCUGCAUGCAGGAGCUCUUUGGGGCUCAGUGAUUCAGCUGCAUCAGAGGACUUGUGCCUUUCCCCUGUGCCCAGCUGUGUGUAUCCGAGGAAGCAUUUCUGCCUGCUGGGGAGUGAAUCACCCAGGAGUGGCUCACCCAGCCCUGCCUGCUGCGAGCAGGAAGGGGAAUGGAAGAGAGGAGGAGUGUGGGCAGCCUUCCUCCUGCUCUUGGGACUGGGGCUGCUUUGCAAUGCCACGCACGGGUUCUGCAGAGGGACAAGAAUCAAGUGGGGAUGGAGGCCUUGGCUGCUCCUGCACAGCCCUGCAAGGCACUCUGUGGCUGUCACCCUGAGCAGAGAGCAGCCAGCCUGCCCUGUGCAUGGGCUGCAGCUUGUCCCAAGCCCUGUGGCUCCUUCUCUGCUGGUGCUUCAGGCAAGCUGGGACACGGCCACCGCACUGGGGACAUGGCUGUGUCACACACUGAGCUGGGCUGAUCCCUGCCAGUUCCCACAGGAGCUGCAGGCUGGGGAUUUUCCAGAUGGGGAAACUGGUGCAGGGCCAUCCAGCUGUCUCCCACAGGCAGUGUGGGGCAUUCUGUGUGGAUGGAGCAAACUCUCCUUGUGUUCUUUCUGCUGUGCUAUUUCAUUUGCUGUAGACUGCAUUUGCUGUUCACUGGCUCAGAGCAGUUAAGAGCAUCUAAUUUAAGAACUACUACAAUAAAAACAACUUGUGGCAACGACACCAGUUUUAAAAGAAAGCCAGUUGGUGAGUCUUCCUCUUUGACCUGUCUGUUUUGGUAGCAUGAUGAGCAUUAGUCACUUGAAGCAAAAUCCUCUUUGCACUACCAGGUCCUGGGAGAACGGAGUUAGGAGUUGUAGGUAAGGCUGCUUUGGGCUGCCCAAAAAGAUAAUGUGGUGGGUAAGCCUGGUGAGCAUCUGUUUAGAUGGGAUUUACAAAAAUAUGUCCCUAACAGGUCAGAGCAGCCCUAUGGCCAGUCACUGAAAGGCCUGCUGCACUCAGAAAGGGCAGGACCAGGUGUUGGGGACCACAGACAUCCCACCUGGGGUUCCCCUACGUGGAGCUGCUCUGUGCUUGGCUGUGACUCUAACUUGAGUUUUCUGGUGGGAAUAUUGGCCAGGAUUAUUGGGCCUUGCUGCUGGCUCCAUUCAGUGAUCUGAACAGCAGCAAAGCUGUGUCUGAUCUGGAAACAGGUCCCUGAAGGACAGCAUGGUUGCACUUACCUCAUCCUGCAUCACAUCAGACUGCUUGUAGCCUCCAUUCUCGGGCUGUAUUAUGGCUUAUCCCACCCAUCCAUGCCUCCCUUAUUUGAUACCAAGCAAUGGGGUUGUUCUCUCCUGGUCCUGGGCAGAAGGGAACCUCACCCUUGUAGUGUCACCAUCCUUCGAGCACCUUGUUGGUGCUGUUGCUGCUGGCAGACACAUGCACGUGCCUGGUGCUGAGGCACCCUGGGACAAGGGCUGUGAGGUGCUGAGGUAAUUCUCACCAUCAAUAACUGCAGGGGAUGAAUCUCAGAUCACAUCUCUGGGGCAAGGCGAGGGACCUGCAGCUCAUGUAUUCCUGGCACGGGAAUCAAUAAUAAAAUUACAGCCCCUGAAAGUUCAGUGAUAAGCCUGACAGCGAUAGGUGUGGGGAGGGAAUUUCCUACAAACUGCUGACUAUAAACAUGGCUAAUAAUAUUAUUCUGAGAGGAUCUGAUUCAUGAUUUAUUAGACUUGUGUGGAACAGGCCCAUA
rnacentral:lncRNA from 1 species